rnacentral:lncRNA from 1 species
GUCUUGUGACCCGGAAUCAUGGUGAUCUAAAAGAGCCCUGUGACUCUGGGAAAUUUGUUAUCAAAGGAUGUUAGCCACAAGUCCUGUUGGCAAAUGGACCCCAGGUGGCCUGCAGUGCCAAGCUGUUUCCCUGCCAGCCUCCCAGUCUGGCCCUGACUCUCCAAUGUGUCACAGAAUAAAGAAAAAGACUGGGAGAGAGAUGGGAGCUGAUAGACCAGAGGAGACCAAAGACUGAAACUGAAGACUAAACCAUGGAAAUUGGGAACAAGCACUUACUCGCUUAGAGGGUGAAAAAAGUGAAUUUGCCUACAGGGCCAAUUUGGAAGCACCUCUCCCUGGAAGCCAGUCAAUGAAGAGCCAUUGGAGGAUUUUAAAUAAGGAACCGAAAAAUGGAGUCUGAAAAUAGAGGCGCAGAGACCGGUCAACCACAAUGAAGAACAAGCCAUUUUGACCUCCAUCCUGGCUCAUCUCCUCUGUGUUCUCAUAGCAUCAUAUUAUAGAAUGGAUCACAAACGCCUUUGCAGUUGCCUAUUUAUUUGUCCAUUUCUCCCUCCAGACU